rnacentral:tRNA from 1 species
GUUGAGGUGGCAGAGUCCGGUAAGUGCGAAAGACCUAAGCCCUUUUUUUCAGAGGUUCAAAUCCUCUCCCCAACU